rnacentral:rRNA from 1 species
UCAUGUUGUUUAAUUCGAUGAUACGCGAAGAACCUUACCAGGUCUUGACAUCCCCCGCGAUGCUUUAGAGAUAAAGCGGAGGUAUUCGGGGAGACAGGUGGUGCAUGGUUGUCGUCGGCUCGUGUCGUGAGAUGUUGGGUUAAGUCCCGCAACGAGCGCAACCCUAUUGCUAGUUACCAUCAUUAAGUUGGGGACUCUAGCGAGACUGCCAGUGAUAAACUGGAGGAAGGUGGGGAUGACGUCAAAUCAUCAUGCCCCUUAUGACCUGGGCUACAAACGUGAUACAAUGGCUGGAACAGAGGGAUGCGAAGCAGUGAUGUGGAGCGAAACCCAUAAAAACAGUCUCAGUUCGGAUUGAAGUCUGCAACUCGACUUCAUGAAGUCGGAAUCGCUAGUAAUCGCGGAUCAGAACGCCGCGGUGAAUACGUUCUCGGGGUUU